AGUGGCGGACGGGUGAGGAAUACAUCGGAAUCUACUCUGUCGUGGGGGAUAACGUAGGGAAACUUACGCUAAUACCGCAUACGAUUGAAUGAGCCGAUGUCGGAUUAGCUAGUUGGCGGGGUAAAGGCCCACCAAGGCGACGAUCCGUAGCUGGUCUGAGAGGAUGAUCAGCCACACUGGAACUGAGACACGGUCCAGACUCCUACGGGAGGCAGCAGUGGGGAAUAUUGGACAAUGGGCGCAAGCCUGAUCCAGCCAUACCGCGUGGGUGAAAAAGGCCUUCGGGUUGUAAAGCCCUUUUGUUGGGAAAGCGGUACCCAAAGAAUAAGCACCGGCUAACUUCGUGCCAGCAGCCGCGGUAAUACGAAGGGUGCAAGCGUUACUCGGAAUUACUGGGCGUAAAGCGUGCGUAGGUGGUCGUUUAAGUCCGUUGUGAAAGCCCUGGGCUCAACCUGGGAACUGCAGUGGAUACUGGGCGACUAGAAUGUGGUAGAGGGUAGCGGAAUUCCUGGUGUAGCAGUGAAAUGCGUAGAGAUC
rnacentral:rRNA from 1 species